AUGAGUACUGCAAGUCUCAAGAUUAAGCCAUGCAUGUCUAAGCAUAAACUAAACUAAAGUGAAGCCACGAAUAGCUCAUUACAACAGCCGUUGUUUCUUGGAUCUCCGCUCUACUUGGAUAACUGAGGUAAUUCUUGAGCUAAUACAUGCAGACGAGCUCUGACUUUACAGGAAGAGCGCAUUUAUUAGACCAAAAUCAAUCGGCUUCGGCCGUUUUUGGUGACUCUGAAUAACUACGCAGAUCGCUCAGGUUUUAUACCGGCGACAUGUCCUUCAAGUGUCUGCCUUAUCAACUUUCGAUGGUAGUUUCUAAGCCUACCAUGGUUGCGACGGGUAACGGAGAAUUAGGGUUCGACUCCGGAGAGGGAGCCUGAGAAACGGCUACCACUUCUAAGGAAGGCAGCAGGCGCGCAAAUUACCCACUCUCGGAUAGAGGAGGUAGUGACGAAAAAUAACGAGACAACCCGCUCUAGCGAGUUGUCAUCGGAAUGAGUACAAUCUAAAUCCUUUAACAAGGAUCUAGCGGAGGGCAAGUCUGGUGCCAGCAGCCGCGGUAAUUCCAGCUCCGCCAGUGUAUAUCUAUGCUGUUGCGGUUAAAAAGCUCGUAGUUGGAUCUUCGUGUCAGGGACCGGUCCACCUUUGUGGUGUGCACUGGCUUCCGACACUAAACCGUCAGUUUUCUGUUGGUGCCCUUCACCGGGUGUCUUCAGUGGCUGGCAUGUUUACUUUGAAAAAAUUAGAGUGCUCAAAACAAGCGUCUCGCUUGAAUAUUCGUGCAUGGAAUAAUAGAAUAGGACCUCGGCUCUAUUUUGUUGGUUUUCGGAACGCGAGGUAAUGAUUAAGAGGGACAGACGGGGGCAUUCGUAUUGCGACGUUAGAGGUGAAAUUCUUGGAUCGUCGCAAGACGGACGACUGCGAAAGCAUUUGCCAAGAAUGUUUUCAUUAAUCAAGAACGAAAGUUAGAGGUUCGAAGGCGAUCAGAUACCGCCCUAGUUCUAACCGUAAACGAUGCCCAACUAGCGAUCCGCAGCGUUAAACAACGACCUUGCGGGCAGCUUCCCCGGAAACGAAAGUGUCUGGUUCCGGGGAGUAUGGUGCAAGCUGAACUAAGAUGACGAGGCACCACCAGGAGUGGAGCCUGCGCUAAUUUGACUCAACAC
rnacentral:rRNA from 1 species